CUCCCAGGGAAGCCCCCGGGGUCAGGUGGGUGCCGCUGUUCCCACUGAAGAUGCGGCCCCCAGUUCACUGCCCACUCGGGGGGGAUUUGAGGGUCAUUGGUUCUGAGGGCCCUCCGCCUGCUCUUUUGCUUCUAAAUCCAGCAUCUUCUGUAUGACCUUUGUCCCGCUCCUGCCACCCCACGAAGACAGACGUGAGGGUCAGGGGAGCCACGGUGCUAACUGCCACUCUGGGCGGGCACAGGCGAGGGCUGUGCAGCACCCGGGCACGUGGGGUCUUCGGAGGGGCUGCUCCCCACACCACUUCCCCUGCCCCUGCCGAGCCCUGCCGUGGGGUGGGGGGGCGCAGGGAGAGAAAGCAGCCGCCCUGGGUGAGAGCCAGGAGGGACACUGGGCAGGCAGAUGCCACCCCAGGUGUGGGGACCCCCGCUACUGAGUGGCCGGGAGGAGCCCACAGGCUCCCCACAUGCAGCUGAGCCCAGGGUUGUGGUCGUGGGUCGUGGGUCAAGGAUGGUGGCUGGUGUGGUUGGGGGAGAGGCUCAAGGCCCGCCUGCCAACCUUGUCACCUAUGUGGGGGUGAGGGGAGCCCGCCAGAGGCCAGAGCCCCCACUGUCCCUUCCCACCCUCCAGCCAGGCUCCAGGCCUCCUAGGGCCAGAGUAUCUGAGCUUUCUCUCGCUUGCCGGGCCUGUGGUUUGGGGGUUUGUGUGGAGCCUGGUCCAGGAGCCCUCCUUCCUGAUCUGCACUGGCUGGCCCUCCUGACAGCCCCAGGCCCCCGUGCCCUCUGCCAGGAGGUGCCUUGCCACUUGGCAUGGCCCCAGUCACGGGUGGCACAUCUGGGGUGAAUGCACGUCAGUGGAGGCAGAAUCAUUCUGUCUGAAUGAAUGGAGUUUCCAGGCCCCCACUGGCCCUCUGUGUGAGGGUCUGCAGGGUUUGGCAGGACAGGUCUUUCUCUCCGGCGAGAGCACCCACCCUGACCGGCUGCUGGAUGAGGGCACCAAAGCUCGCUAGGGAGGGCUCUGUCCUUAGGGAGGAGCUGCGGAAUCCCUGCAGCUGUGCCCCCAGGCCCUGCCUUGCACACUUCCUGCAGCCAGGGCGCCCCUGGGGAGGUCAGGGCAGGCCGGGGAGGCUGAGGCCCACCUGCCAUAGUGGGCAGGUGCGGGAGCCAGGGCGGCAGUGGCCUCGGGGCUGGGUGGGGCGCCUGGCCUCUGGUCUCUGGAGCAGUCAGGGGCUCUGCAGACGCUGAGAGGCCUGCUCAUAGUGGACUGGGAGAUGCUGGAGCAGCCUCAGAGCCAUGGCCGGCCCACAGCGGGAGACGGCCCUGCUGCUGCCCCUCUGCCUGUGCGUGUGCACCUGUGGGCACCUGCGUGUGCUGGGGCAGGCAGGGCUGUAUUGGGACCAGGUCCCGUAACAGCCUGCCUGCUUACCGUCUGCUCCCAUCCCUGGGGAAAGCAAGGGAGCUCGGGGUCCUAGGACCUGACCUCAGCGCUCACCCCCACCAGCACCACAGUCACCAGGACUCUGUGACUCAGUUUACCCCACGAGAGCCCCUGGGAUUCCCAGGGCAUCAGAAGGCCCAUCAGCCUCCCGUGAACUGCUGGGGUGGGCCUGGCCUUGGGACGCGGGUGCAGGGGCCUCUCCUCACUGCCCCAUGGCACCCACAGCCAGUGCCAGAGCCUGCUGCAGCCCCGACCCGGCAGAGCAAGCGGCUCUGCUACCUCAGCCACGUAGCUGAUGGCAUCCUUCAGGUUCAGCUCGUGGAAGACAUUCAGGAUCCGGUCUCGAGACUUCUGGGCCGACCGUCUCAUGAGGACCCUGCUGAGGAACUUCCUGUCGAAGUGGGACCACCUGUAGGGACAGACCUUGGGUGUGAGCCUCAGGUGACAGGCGCCCUAGAGCCCGCCGGACGCGUGGCCCGGCCCCUUCUCUCCUGAAUUUUGUUUGCUAUAGUGACCCUGUAGGCGCGUUUAAAAUGAGGGAAGCAGCCCCUGCCACACGCCCAGGCCGUCCGCCGUUCUCCCGCCUGUCCUGUUGGAUGGAGGCCGUUAGACGCAUAUGAAACUGCAUGCCGCCUCCUCCAGAGGGUGGCUCAGGACACGGUGGGUGUCAGGCCUGGUCAGGCAAGGGGGCUUUGGCCACAUGGGGGGCACCUUCAGGUGCACAGGAGGAAGGGCAGGGGCGGACAGACACCCUGAGCCCUUAGACUUGUGGGAGCCAAGCUGACCAGAGUGAGGUUUUUUUUAGCCUAACGGAAUUAGAGUAUUCGCUGGUUAUCCAGAUCAGAAGGGACGGUGGCCUGGCCGGACUUAGAGGAAACUCUGGGGCACAAGGAGGUGAUGCCUGUCACUUGGACAUGGGUGCAGCCGCCAGAGCCGCCCUCCAGGGCACAGGGUGGGCCCGGGUGAGCUUGUGUGCUCACACCUGGGCAGGCCCCGCGGCAGCAAUGGCAGCUCUCCUGUACAGGCUGAGUUUCAGCCACACCAAGAAGUCAAAGCUAACCGAGGCUGUGCCUUCCGAGACCCCCGGGAUGGCCCCUGGGAGGCCAAGGAGUCGGGGACUGGGUACCCGGAGCAGAGUCACUGUGGCCACGGAGAACCGCAGCUGAGCUUUAUGAAGCCACGUGGCCACACCUCCCGGUGCCUCCACCCCAAGCAAACACAGAUCGCUCAGAAAAUGGGAACCCAGGGCAAAUUGUAUGUGCUCCUUACUGGGUUUAUUAUAAGUGUCACAUGUUUUUUAUAAUAAAACAUAGGUGAUUUCACCUUAA
rnacentral:lncRNA from 1 species